AUCAUCAAGAACAUUAUUACCACACCAUUUCCUUAAUUAACAUUAUUACCAUCACUAUUACCACUUUCUCCACAUCAUCAUCAUCAUCAUCAUCAUCAUUAUCACUGUCCUCAUUUUCACCUCAGGUGAUUAAAAUAUAAUAUAAUGUUGUGGGUUUUACAGUUUUAAAGCUGUCUGUCUGUCUGUCUGUCUCUCUCUCAGCACCUGCGUCUGUCUCUGACGGAGUGGGGUCAGUGUCGGGUUCAGCACCUCCGUUUCCCCUCUGUAGUCGACAUGCUCGCCCACUUCCGCAUCUCCCCAAUCCCACUGGAGUGUGGGGCAGCGUGUGACGUCCUAUUGGCCAGUUACAUCCUGGCCACGCCCACUCACUCAGGUCAUUGUUCUGCUCUGGGAACUCCAGUUCUGGUGCCUUUCUCUCGCUGCAGUUCAGAACCGAGUCUGGCUCACUGUGGCCUCGACCCGUUUGCUCACUCGCCUCCAUCGAGCGCUCCACCCACCGGGGCCUCCAACACUCCCAUGCACCGCCCACCGCUCUCCGAUCGUCCGGCUCCUCCCCCCGAUCGCCUGGGCCCCGCCCCCCUGCGCCGCAGCGAGUCUGUGGGCCGCCGGACACUCCUCCGCCACCCCAACCCACUGCCCCCUCUCCUCCACAGCCGCGACUCGGAUUACGAACUGGAGCCGCCCGACAGGGGGCGCAAGAGAGCCAUCGACAACCAGUACAUGUUCUUCUGAUGGAGAGAACGAAGCAAGACGUCAAGAACGCAAGAAAACAGCAGCAGCAGCAGCAGCACAGAACGACCGACCGACGACCGCUUCUGGAACAGAGCACUCUCCAGCCAGACAGAAGUGGCUUCUUUCUCCAGUAGGGGGCGCAAUAGAAGAAGCCAGCAGAUUCACCAGCGUUCUCUGGUGCGGGAGAGAGGGAGGGUCUUCCUUUAGUCACUUAACUGUGGGGGGAGGUGGUCCAGAAAGCCCUCCUCGUGCAGAACUGCCGUGACGCAGGGUCCGUUAAACCAAACUCCUGUUCCGUAAAUCAAAAAUCCGUAAAUCGUAACUGAUAACGGGUCAGAACGGGUCAGAACUGAUAACCGAUAACGCGUCGCAGAACGCGGAGGGUCUCCUGCAGGGUCACGAGGAUGGCGGCAGAUUGUGUCUCUGUGCAGAGCUCACGUAACAGACGCACUCUUCACUAAUCCCUUUUGCAUUAGUGAGAGGUCUGACAAUCACGUCCACCUUGAAUGUAUUUUUUAAGAGUUUUUGCCACUAUUAAGUAGGGAGAAGUCAAACGGACAGGAGACAGCAUCCGCCAGAGUACAGCUUCUCCACUCCGGUCAACAAGAACCGAAGAGUUCAGAAGAGUUCAGACGUUGGGUUGGUGUGACUUGCCUUUGUGGAAAAAAAAAGAGUGUGCUCAGUUCCAUCUGUGGAGAGUUACAGCCCUGAAGAGCUUAGUUUCAACAAAAUAGCCCAAAAUGUCUCAAUUGGUGCCUCAAGUGGCACCACAAAGAUACUUUAAGGACUUUAAAGAGUUCUGGUUGGUAGGUACAGUAUGUUGUCAAAAGUAUUUACUGGUAGUAUGAGAUGUUGGCCAAUAUGAUGUCAGCCCAACAUUUUGCAUCUAUAACAGCUUCAACUUUUCCUGAGAGGCUUUCCUCAAGGUUUAGGAGUGUGUUUAUGGUCAUUCUUGACCGUUCUUCUUAAAGAAGAGCAUUUGUAGGUCAAAAACUGAUGCUUGACAAUAAGAUCUGGCUCACAGUCUCCACUCCAAACUCACCAGAUCAUCCAUCUCCAUCUUUAUGGAGCUUACUUUAUGCUCUGGUGCACAGUAGUCAUGUUGGAACAGGAAGGGAAUGUUCCCAAACUUACCGCAAAGUUAGGAGUGUGAAACUGAAGGUCAUGAUCUGGUUGGUCAGGUUUGUUUGAUUAGAACUGAAACUGAAGUCUGGGCUGCAGUAAAUCUUCAGGACUGAAAUUGAGCUCCUCCUAUAGAGCAGUGCUCUUUAAAGCAGCUCUUGGGAUGCUGCAGAAGGUCCAGAUAUGUGUUAGCGUUAGCACUUGUCGCUGUAUAAGUGGCGUUACCCAGAAUUGCUUAAGCCCAAAGAUCAUCCCACACUUCAGAAACUCCACAGUCAGUUCCGUUCCAAACCCCCAACACUCCUGAUUACAGUGAUGAAGAGCCUGACAGCACUUUUCAACUGAUCCAAGUGUUGGACCUGGAGUAGAGCACGAACAUCAACACGAGGACUGGGGACUCGGGCAGGCGUGUGAUGUAUUACUUAAUUAUUAAAUAAAUCAGAUUACUGAGUGUUGGACUAGGAAAAG
rnacentral:lncRNA from 1 species